AUUGAACGCUGGCGGCAUGCUUUACACAUGCAAGUCGAACGGUAACAGGGUGCUUGCACCGCUGACGAGUGGCGAACGGGUGAGUAAUGCGUCGGAACGUGCCGAGUAGUGGGGAUAACGCAGCGAAAGUUGUGCUAAUACCGCAUACGUACUGAGGUAGAAAGUGGGGGACCUUCGGGCCUCACGCUAUUCGAGCGGCCGACGUCUGAUCAGCUAGUAGGUGAGGUAAAGGCUCACCUAGGCGACGAUCAGUAGCGGGUCUGAGAGGAUGAUCCGCCACACUGGGACUGAGACACGGCCCAGACUCCUACGGGAGGCAGCAGUGGGGAAUUUUGGACAAUGGGCGAAAGCCUGAUCCAGCCAUGCCGCGUGCAGGAUGAAGGCCUUCGGGUUGUAAACUGCUUUUGUACGGAACGAAAAGGUUUGGCCUAAUAAGCUGAGCUCAUGACGGUACCGUAAGAAUAAGCACCGGCUAACUACGUGCCAGCCGCCGCGGUAA
rnacentral:rRNA from 1 species